rnacentral:rRNA from 1 species
AUUGAACGCUGGCGGCAGGCCUAACACAUGCAAGUCGAACGAGUGGCGGACGGGUGAGUAAUGUCUGGGAAACUGCCUGAUGGAGGGGGAUAACUACUGGAAACGGUAGCUAAUACCGCAUACCAUCGGAUGUGCCCAUAUGGGAUUAGCUAGUAGGUGGGGUAAAGGCUCACCUAGGCGACGAUCCCUAGCUGGUCUGAGAGGAUGACCAGCAACACUGGAACUGAUGCAGGGUCCAGAAUCGUAAGGGAGGGCGCAGUGGGGAAUAUUGCACAAUGGGCGCAAGCCUGAUGGAGCCAUUCCGCGGGUAUGAAGAAGGCCGUCGGGUUGUACAGUACUUUCAGCGGGGAGGCGUUACCCGCAGAAGAAGCACCGGCUAACUCCGUGCCCGCAGCCGCGGUAAUUC